GCCCCAAUAGCUCAAUAGGUAAGAGCAAUCGGCUCAUAACCGAUAGGCAGAUAGGUUCAAAUCCUACUUGGGGCACCA
rnacentral:tRNA from 2 species